GGGUAGCUCCUGUAACGCCCCGGGACCGGCGGAGGCCCUCCCGGUAGCGUGCCCAGACCCGCCGUAUGUCUACACAUAUAAGGCGUCUACCAUAAAGUGGAAGUAAAUGCAAGUAAUAGAACAAAUAGAAGAAGUGAAUAACUAGCAACUAAUGAUAUCAGAGCGAGUACAGUUCUAACAUCUACACCAAAGUAAAGAAGUAAAGUUAGACAAUAAAAGGAGUCAUAAGUAGUACAAGAUCUGUCUCAAAAGUACAAAAGUGGUAGUCUCUAGUACACUGGUAAAACUCUCAACCUCUCGCAAAAAGAAAUAUAAAUCGAGAGGUAGACCACCUAGCAACUCGUCCUCGAAGGAAGCUAGCUCGAAGCAACUCCCUUCCCGCGAUCCCUGGCCUCACCCUGCGUGGAAGGCUCUGAAAAACAUCGAGAAAAAGAGGGCGUGAGAACUGUAAUUUAUAGUUCCCAGUGGGCAAUUACUGACCUCAGCUCAAUGCACCACUAGGCCCCCAAAAAAAAAAGGGUAAGUACAAUAAUAAUAGCAAUAAUAACUGCGAUAUGAAAGCAUAAUUAAAAGGCUAAAUUAUUAAACUCGAGUAUACACGAUGUCAUGGUGAUAUACAUCUACGAUAUCAAAAUAAUAUGACAUUAAUCUUGAAGAAUACAUUAUGCAUAAGUUCUGUCAUGGCAACCAAGUAUGCUUUAAUGCAAAAGGAGACUAUCAAGUAUACUACAUGUCUCAACACUAUGCUAAAAGCAUAUAAAUGUCAUUCAACUACUAAACCUAUCUAGUAGUGAUUAACCAUUCUCAACACCGUGUCGAUUUCCAUUUCCAAUUAAGGACCUACCAAAGGUAGUCCAUUUGUGCCGCCUAAGUGCCUGUCGUAGCCCAACAUCCCUACUCUUGGAAUGUGUCUGUCCCACUCGACCCCGUAGGCUUCUCAAUACCGCACGAGCGAACAUAAGUCGCGUAGGCUAACUCCGGAGUGCCGGCUUGUAGGGAGCGACCCUCACAAGCAUGUGCGAAUGAGCACAAAUGGCAAGCAAGCAUAGUCCAAGUCUCAAAUAUCCAAUCCUCAUGUCUCUAACAUGGUAUGGUCACUAGCAUCCCGAAGAUCUGGUUUAAGUCACAAUGUGAAGUUUCAACAUUUGCUACGCCUAGUGCCCCUUGAUGACACUUAGGCAAUUUGAUGUUCAACAUGUAUUCCAAAUCCCUCAAUGGCCCUAUCCGCUAGGUUCUCACAUGUCCCGAGGUCAAUGCCGCUUGAUGACAUUAGCUCUCUAGUUCACAUACUUUCUAAAUGGCAAUUUUAUCAACUUUCACGUCACAAGUAAACUUAAGUUUAAAUACAUGAAUCCGAACUCAUUUACACUAUAGAAGCAUGAAACCAAGUCUCAUAAAGAAUGCUAAAUGCAACCAUAGAUCUCCCAAGCAACUCUCUACUACAUAGAGGUCCAAAAUUUCAUCAUAUGUAACAUAUGCAUUUUAAGCAUUCUAAAAUUCACAAUAAAUACGUAUAACAAGAAUAUGCAUGCUUUUUCAUUUAACGAUACUUAAUUAAGCACAAAUGAGAAUUCCUCAUUGUGUGGCUAGGUCAAACCCACCGAACUGUCGCGUAGCGCCUCGUUUCGCCGAACAAAGUUGUCUCCGGGUCUCAAAAUACCCUAAAAGUAUUGAGCGACAAGAUACACGGGCAUUACGAUCAACUAUAAGCUCAAACAUUAACCUAGAAGCAAAAAGGGCCAAAACUCGCCUCAAGAGUAGAAAAUCUCUCUCAAGCUCCAAAAGAGAGCUAAAUCCCUUCCAAUCCAAGUCCAAGGAAGGUUCUAAACCAACUAAUUUAGGUCCAAAAGCCCUAGAUCAAAAAUGCCCAAAUAUGAGCCCUAAAACCUCAUCUAGGGUUUCAUCUCAAAGAAACCUCCAAAAUUCAAAUCUAGAGGAAAAGAUCUAGUCACUUACCUCUAGGAAGCUUCAAACCAAGCUCAAAGUGCUCAAACUUCAAGGAUCAACCCUCAACCAAGCAUAAACCCAAGCUCCAAUGGUGGGAAAAGCCUCCAAUCAAGCAAAAAAAAGCAAAAAAGAGGUUUAAUCUCUUAAAAUCCUACCAAAAUCCAAAUAGAUCAAAAGAAAAUCAAAGAGGGCUCCCUUACCUCUCCUCUUGCUGGUCCCAAGCUCAGGAGAAGACCUCUAGGGCGUGGGGGGUACUAAUAAGAAGUUCACAAUCGCAAAAAGCCCCCUGCAGUUCAAAACGCACGAAAUCAGCCCCCUUGUACCGGUACACGGGCUCUUGUACCGGUACAAGGUCCACGAAAUCCAAACCCGAGUCUCGGGUUGCUAGGCUCUGCGGCUCUGUACCGGUACAAGCUCCGAUGGCUGUACCGGUACAACCAUCAACCUUGUACCGGUACAAGCACAGCCUUGUACCGGUACAAGCCUGCCAGAACUCAAUCCGAGAGUCAGCCAAAUCCCCUUUUUUCGGGUUUUGGUGCAAGGCUUUGUACCGCAAAUCUCGGGACACGUGCCAUAGGUCGGAACACAGUCAACGACCCACCAGAAAAUCUGGAAAAGCUCAGAACACGGCCAAUCACUCGAACCUCGCAAUUUGCAAAGGUCCAGUGUGCUACAGCUCCCCACCCAUUGGACUGGGAAGUGAGUCGGGAGAAGGGCGGGGUAGCUCUUCUCCUGUGAGAUUUGAGCGGGGUAGCACUUUACCUCUGAGCGGGGUAGCUCUUUACCUACGAGCGGGGUAGCUCUUGACCUAUGAGUUUGAGUUAGAGUCGGGGCGAAGAGCGGGGUAGCUCUUGCCCUUAGGCAUUUGAGUCAUGAGUUGGGCGAGGAGCGGGGUAGCUCUUCACCUAUAAGACUUGAGAUCUGAGUCGGGUAAGAGCGGGGUAGCUCUUUACCUAUAGUGUUAGAGUUGUGGGACGGGUGAAACAAGGGCGGGGUAGUCCUUCACCUAUGUGAUUUGAGACAAGGGCGGGGUAGCCUAGUAGAUUGGGUAAAGACAUGAAUUGCAUAAGUGGAUCCGCAUUCAUACCAUGAUUAGACAUAGUACACUGCAUAACUAUGUUGUAGUUGUAUAUAUUUCAUUGUUAAAGCAUACUAGCAGGAUAAAUGAUGUUGCAUGCAUUCCUUGCAUUUGGUGGCAUAGUAGAUAUAGUAGCAGUUUAUUUCU
rnacentral:lncRNA from 1 species